AAUUCCUGCCAGGACUCUAACCAAGACUUAUGGUCUGAAACACCAUCGUUAUUUUUUAACUACAAGAAC
rnacentral:tRNA from 1 species